rnacentral:rRNA from 1 species
UACAGAGGUCUCAAGCGUUGUUCGGAUUCAUUGGGCGUAAAGGGUGCGUAGGUGGUUAGGUAAGUCGGAUGUGAAAUCCCGGGGCUCAACCUCGGAACUGCAUUCGAUACUGCCUGACUGGAGUACUGGAGAGGAGAUUGGAAUUUACGGUGUAGCAGUGAAAUGCGUAGAUAUCGUAAGGAAGACCAGUGGCGAAGGCGGAUCUCUGGACAGUUACUGACACUGAGGCAGCGAAGGCCAGGGGAGCGAACGGG